rnacentral:rRNA from 1 species
CCUACGGGAGGCAGCAGUGAGGAAUAUUGGUCAAUGGGCGGAAGCCUGAACCAGCCAAGUCGCGUGAGGGAAUAAGGCCCUACGGGUCGUAAACCUCUUUUGCCGGGGAGCAAGGGCGGGGACGUGUCCCGGCCCGGAGAGUACCCGGAGAAAAAGCAUCGGCAAACUCCGUGCCAGCAGCCGCGGUAAUACGGAGGAUGCGAGCGUUAUCCGGAUGUAUUGGGUUUAAAGGGUGCGUAGGCGGGCUUUUAAGUCAGCGGUAAAAAUUCGGGGCUCAACCCCGUACGGCCGUUGAAACUGGGGGGCUUGAGUGGGCGAGAAGAAGGCGGAAUGCGUGGUGUAGCGGUGAAAUGCAUAGAGAUCACGCAGAACCCCGAUUGCGAAGGCAGCCUUCCGGCGCCCGACUGACGCUGAGGCACGAAAGUGUGGGGAUCGAACAGGAUUAGAUACCCCUGUAGUC